GAUGAACGCUGGCGGCGUGCUUAACACAUGCAAGUCGAACGGAAAGGCUCCUGCUUGCAGGGGUACUCGAGUGGCGAACGGGUGAGUAACACGUGGGUGAUCUGCCCUGCACUUCGGGAUAAGCCUGGGAAACUGGGUCUAAUACCGGAUAGGACGAUGGUUUGGAUGCCAUUGUGGAAAGUUUUUCGGUGUGGGAUGAGCUCGCGGCCUAUCAGCUUGUUGGUGGGGUAAUGGCCUACCAAGGCGUCGACGGGUAGCCGGCCUGAGAGGGUGUACGGCCACAUUGGGACUGAGAUACGGCCCAGACUCCUACUGGAGGCAGCAGUGGGGAAUAUUGCGCAAUGGGCGCAAGCCUGAUGCAGCGACGCCGCGUGGGGGAUGACGGCCUUCGGGUUGUAAACUCCUUUCGUCAGGGACGAAGCGAAAGUGACGGUACCUGGAGAAGAAGCACCGGCUAACUACGUG
rnacentral:rRNA from 1 species